GCGGAAGGCCGGAUGACCGCGUGUGGCUGCGGGUCCCGUGAGGGAAACUGCGUCACACGAGGAAAGUCCGGACUCCAUGAAGUAAGGGUGCCGGGUAACGCCCGGCGGGGGUAACCCCAGGGAAAGCGCCACAGAGAACGAGACCGCCCUGCUUGCAGGGUAAGGGUGAAACGGUGGGGUAAGAGCCCACCGCGGACCGGGCAACCGGGACGGCACGGCAAGCCCCACCCGGAGCAAUGCCGAAUAGGGACCUCGCGCGGGCCAGGGUCGGGCAACCGAGACCGCCGCAGGGACACUUCAGCCCGAGAGGUCCGGGUUGGCAGCUAAAGCCCGUCAGUAAUGGCGGGACAAGAGGAAUGGUCAUCCAGAGGGGGCAACCCCUUGGACAGAAUCCGGCUUACAGGCCUUCCGCGCAA
rnacentral:RNase_P_RNA from 1 species